ACUGGCGGGCGCACAGCUCGUUGCAGCUCUCAGCGAUGGGCUGGGGCACAGCCACGCUGGUUUUGGGUGGGCACAGGUCGUAGCAGGACAUCUUGGCGUGGGAUGCGAG